rnacentral:rRNA from 1 species
UACGGGAGGCAGCAGUAAGGAAUUUUCGGCAAUGGACGAAAGUCUGACCGAGCAACGCCGCGUGAGUGAUGAAGGUCUUCGGAUCGUAAAGCUCUGUGGUAAAGGACGAACACCAUGAACAGGAAAUGGUUCAUGGCUGACGGUACUUUUCUAGAAAGUCACGGCUUACUACGUGCCAGCAGCCGCGGUAAU